rnacentral:lncRNA from 1 species
AUGGGAAUACUUAUACCUUAUAUAGUAACAUUUCAAAAAAUGGCAUUUAUAGGAGGUCAUGAAAAUAACCUCCUACCACGUUGUUCCACGGCUGCUGUUCCAUUUCAGGUUGGACAUAGGAAGAACAUAGAGCUAUGGUUACUUAACGGUACGGGAAGAGCACCAUCCUCUUUCACCUUUUGCUGCAUUGUUAAUGUGUAUAUGUGCAUAAGAAAUGCAGGUAAGCAGGGUGCUUAGCCUGUGAGCAUCUAAAUCAUGUUACCUCUGAGCUUCACUUUCUCACUGACAGCAAAUGGGGAUAAAUUUACUUAAUUAUCUUCUGUGGAUAUUGUGGGAUAAAUUCAUUAAAGAUUUGGAGUGUUAGGGCUAGAUAUAAUCUGGCCUUUAUUAAAAUUGCUAUGAUUGUAAUGCCGUUAGUACCCCUGCGCAAAUCCCAGCAAAAGUAAUUUUUUAUAAUGAUGGAGAUACAGAUCCUCUAAUUAUCCAGGACAACUCAAAUUAGCACCACAAAUAACUGCUAAAAGUUGAGACUGCAUGAUGUGAAAGAUAAUUGAUUUUGAAUAUGUCAGGGCACAACUGCUGUUAAGUGAUGUACAAUGUUAUUUUCUCAUGUUGGAUAUUUAAUCACACUUUGAAGAUACAGAGAUGUGAUUUAUACCAUUGCUAGAGACUUCAGGGGGCAGAAGCCUUGGCGAAACAAGGAGAGGAAAACUCACAGCUUGCUUGAAUUUUUUGCCUAUUGUCACUCAUAUCUCAUCUUGUUUAAUUGACAGUCAAUUUAUAUCAAUUUUAUAUUGUUUUCAGAUUUUAAACUGGGUGCAGUUACCAAGUCAGAAUGAGGAAGUGUUCUUUUAAGUGUUCAUUUUGGAUUCAUUGCAUUAAUAGAGAAGAGGUAUUCCUAGAGAACCUCCACAGGUUUCCAUUGGGGGAAUUAAAAUAAACCUUGGUAACUGAGAAGUUGACUUACUCCC